rnacentral:rRNA from 1 species
CAGUAGCCGCGGUAAUACAGAGGGUGCGAGCGUUAAUCGGAUUUACUGGGCGUAAAGCGUGCGUAGGCGGCUUCUUAAGUCGGAUGUGAAAUCCCUGAGCUUAACUUAGGAAUUGCAUUCGAUACUGGGAAGCUAGAGUAUGGGAGAGGAUGGUAGAAUUCCAGGUGUAGCGGUGAAAUGCGUAGAGAUCUGGAGGAAUACCGAUUGCGAAGGCAGCCAUCUGGCCUAAUACUGACGCUGAGGUACGAAAGCAUGGGGAGCAAACAGGAUUAGAUACCCGAGUAGUCCCUGUCUCUUAUAC